rnacentral:rRNA from 1 species
GACGAACGCUGGCGGCGUGCUUAACACAUGCAAGUCGAACGCUGAAGACCUGGCUUUUGUUGGGUUGGAUGAGUGGCGAACGGGUGAGUAACACGUGAGUAACCUGCCCUCUUCUUUGGGAUAACGCCCGGAAACGGGUGCUAAUACUGGAUAUUCACUGAUCUUCGCAUGGGGGUUGGUGGAAAGGUUUGUUCUGGUGGGGGAUGGGCUCGCGGCCUAUCAGCUUGUUGGUGGGGUGAUGGCCUACCAAGGCUUUGACGGGUAGCCGGCCGGAGAGGGUGACCGGUCACAUUGGGACUGAGCUACGGCCCAGACUCCUACGGGAGGCAGCAGUGGGGAAUAUUGCACAAUGGGCGAAAGCCUGAUGCAGCGACGCCGCGUGAGGGAUGGAGGCCUUCGGGUUGUAAACCUCUUUCGCUCAUGGUCAAGCCGCAACUGUGGGUUGUGGUGAGGGUAGUGGGUAAAGAAGCGCCGGCUAACUACGUG